rnacentral:RNase_P_RNA from 1 species
GCCGCUGCCCCGCAAGGGGGAGAGGAAAGUCCGGGCAACGCAGAGCGCCGUCCUUCCUAACGGGAAGAUCUCCGAGAGGGGAUAGCAAGCGUAACAGAAAACAACCGCCACGAAACCGCCGAACGGUCGCGUGGUAAGGGUGAAAAGGCGGGGUAAGAGCCCACCGCGGAUGUGGUGACACGUCCGGCCGUACGUCUGACGGGUUGCAAGACCAUGUAUACCGACGCCGUAGGGUUGCUCGCCCGAUGUCGGGGGGUAGGUUGCUGACGAGCCGCGGAGGAGACUCCCGGCCUAGAUAAAUGGCAGAGGCCCGCAGGGGAGCGAUCCGCUCCGGGCACAGAACCCGGCUUACACGCCCUG